rnacentral:rRNA from 1 species
GACGAACGCUGGCGGCGUGCUUAACACAUGCAAGUCGAACGGAAAGGCCCUGCUUUUGUGGGUUGCUCGAGUAGCGAACGGGUGAGUCACACGUAAGUAACCUGCCCUUGCCUUUGGGCUAACUUCAGGAAACUCGGGCUCCUACCGGAUAGGAGCUCCUGCUGCAUGGUGGGGGUUGGAAAGUUUCGGCGGUUGGGGAUGGACUCGCGGCUUAUCAGCUUGUUGGUGGGGGGGUGGCUUACAAAGGCUUUGAGGGGUCGCCGGCCUGAGAGGGUGACCGGCAAAAUGGGGACUGAGAUACGGCCCAAACGCCGAGGGGGGGAAGAGUGGGGGAAAAUUGAAAAAUGGGCGGAAGCCGGAUGCAGCAACGCGGCGUGGGGGAUAACGGCCUUCGGGUGGUAAACCGUUUUCGCAUGUGACGAAGCGGGAGUGACGGUAACGGGUAAAGAAGCACCGGCUAACUACGUG